GGUCAACCUCUUGAAGGUGCCACACCAUUGUCGGUGACACUUCUAAUCUGCUUGACAUUCUGCUUGGUCUUUGGGGCAGAUUCUAACACAGUGAUUUUGCCUGUGUAGAGAAGAAGCUGUAAAACAGAUAGCUCAUUUCUUCCCAGUGGAACUGAGCUCACAUCAACAGGAAAGAGACAUAAAGCCUCCAGGCCUCCUGGGGAACACUGGAGGUUACGGUGGAAGUAGCUGGAAGGAGUUUUGAUCAUCUACUGAGGACACAGUCUCAACUGUGGGCCAGUCAGUGUGAAGGGGAGCAACAGAGCAAGCAUUCUCUCGGGGCAGAACCAGCAUCAAAAACGGAUUUCAGAAGCUCCUUCACAGUGACUAUGAUUCGAUUAGUUUACAAAGUAGUGGGUAUGUCAGCUGGUGGCAGAGGACAACAGGGCCCUCAAUCUGUUAGUGAAGCUUAAUGGCUUAACAGUGGUCGGGGUUGGGUAAAAGACAGAGAGAAGAAGAGUGAGGAAGAGGGAGAGGAGAACAAAAGUGAGCCUCUUUCUCCUGAUGCCACUGUUGUCUCAGAGUGAGUUCCACCACACCCGACAUGCUGUCUCCUCAAGGACAUCAAAAGAGGCUUAACAUCACUCAGGGAAAACAUUCCCAGUUCAAAGAAAUAAAGCAGAUAAAGGAAACUUCAGACUAGGAGUUGGACUCCCAGUAAAGAUAUUUUUCAAAAAUGAUGGAAAAAAUUAUGCUGUAAGAAACAAAAUCUAAAAGAAUUGUUGCUUAACAAACUCACAAAAAACACCCACCAAAGGAUAUUCUUAAGGCUUGAAAUAUACUAUCCAGGAUGCUAAUUCAAAUCUACAUUAAAAUUCAGAGAACAAAUGUAAAGGUAAUUACACACACACACACACACACACACACACACACACAUACACACACACUACACACUACACAGCCCUGAACAGUUUGAGUGCAUGGUUUCCUUUAUUCUUUUCAUAGCUAAUUUCAAAAUCAAUUGUGCAAAAGACUCAAUUUAGGAGAGUCAGGGAUGAGAUGGUUCUCUGAGGUAGAAGGAAUGCUAUGACAACUGUUCUCCAAAACAAAUACCUUAGAAGACAGACAGUUCCUAGAAUGGAGAAACUAUCCACAUCAAUGGCAGAAGAAACAGUCUGCAGAGACCUCUAACUAGGGAGUAGACUGAAACAGAAGUCAUCAUUAUUCUCGUCAUCCUCAUCAUUGUCAUUAGCCCACAAAAAUCCCAUGCCCGGUUGACCACUGCUGAAGUCUACAAAUAUUAAAAUAAGGAUUAUUACCAAAUUUUUACAAUGUCUUCUAACAGAAGAGAACAGAAUACUUCACAGCUUAUUUUGUGGGAGAGUAUUAUUCUGAUGUCAAAACCAGGCAAAGGCAUCACAGGAAAAAUGCACGUCAACGUCAUAAAAAUCCAAAAGACAAUAAAUGCAGCAAUACAUAAAAUGUUACACAAUGUGGAAUUUAUCCCAGGUCUGCAAGGUGUCUCCAAAUUUCUAUAUCAGAAAACAGAUAAAAUCCAAAUCAGAUGGUCACCUCAAUAUAUUUGCAAAAAUAUAUAUGAAAAAUAACACAUUUUACUGUUAAAAAUAGUAAGUCUACAGCAACAAUAAAACACUAGACUAGAAGUAGAUGGCACAUCCUUAACCCCAUAAAGCAACCAAAAGCAACAACCAAAUAAACACAAACCAGCAGAACCACACAGCAACACUAUGGAAAUUAGAUAUGGAGGGUCGAUAGCUAAAGUCAUGGGAUUUCUGAUGAUGGAGUUGAAAUACUCUAGAACCGAUUUGGGUUAUAAGUUCACAUUAUUCUGAGUGAAAACACUGGAUACUUUAAAUGGGUGAAUUGUGUAGAAUAAAAGCUGCUUGUGAAACAAUA